UCCGGCUUAGCACCGGCAGUCUUAUUAGAGUGCCCAACCUAAUGAUGGCAACUAAUAACAAGGGUUGCGCUCGUUGCGUCACUUAAGACAACAUCUCACGACACGAGCUGACGACAGCCAUGCAGCACCUGUGUCCAAGUUCCCGAAGGCACUACCACAUCUCUGUAGCAUUCUUGGCAUGUCAAGAGCAGGUAAGGUUUUUCGCGUUGCAUCGAAUUAAUCCGCAUCAUCCACCGCUUGUGCGGGUCCCCGUCAAUUCCUUUGAGUUUUAAUCUUGCGACCGUACUCCCCAGGCGGUCUACUUCUUGCGUUAGCUACGCUACACAGGUUUCACCCCAUACAGCUAGUAGACAUCGUUUAGGGCGUGGACUAC
rnacentral:misc_RNA from 1 species